GACACGCAUCCCCUACCCCUGGUGGAGGUGGUUGUGCCAACAGGGGCUGCCGGUAACCUUGCAGCUGGGUACAUUGCUCAGAAGAUAGGCCUGCCCGUCCGUCUGGUCGUGGCAGUGAACGGCAAUGACAUCAUCCACAGGACUGUCCAGCAGGGAGACUUCUCUCUCUCUGAGGCUGUUAAAUCAACCUUGGCAUCAGCUAUGGACAUUCAGGUGCCCUACAACAUGGAGAGGGUAUUCUGGCUGCUCUCUGGCUCUGACAGCCAGGUGACAAGAGCCCUCAUGGAGCAGUUUGAAAGGACCCAAAGUGUGAAUCUGCCCAAGGAACUGCACAGCAAGGUCAGUCACUACCCACACACCACAGAGAAAGGAAAGGGUACAGGCACAUAGCAGACUUGGGGUUUGGAAGUCUGGUCAAGGGAAGAGGACACCUGUUUCUUGAGUACCUGCUAUGAGCCUGUCACUUUUAUGGCCACUUUACAUGGAAUAAUUUAUUGAAUGAGGAGAGGUAAUAGAGAAAAUGGUUUAGAGUCAAACAGGCUCAAUUCCAAGUAAGCUAUGAGACAUUGGGCUAGUUUCCUAAACUCUUUGCUUCAGUUCCUUCAUUUAUAAAAUGGGGAUAGUAAGAAUGCCUACCUCAUAGAGUUCUUGUGAGAUUUCAGUCAAAUAAUAUAUGUGAAGCACUUUGCAUACUUCCUGGUAAUAUAUGGCUUGAUACAUUAG
rnacentral:sRNA from 1 species